ensembl:lncRNA
GGAUGAUGUCGGACUCGGCUGAAGCGAGUGGCUGUUUUAUGAAAUGGACAUAUUCCCAUCUCUUCACUUUUCUGAAACAAGCAGACAAGAACAUUACAGUAAUAUGCAAGCUAUGUCCUGGGGAGAAAAAACUAUCGGCCGGUGUUAAUAGCGAGAGCAUAGACGAACACUUCUGAGUGAUCCUUGUUCAUCAUCCAUGGAUAACACCGCAGCAACUCCUGCUAAGCAGCAAAACUUGAUUUUAGUUCAGCAGCACAGAAAGCGUCUGAAGGUUUGUGUGCUUCUUGGAGGUGAGACAUAUGUCUCAUGUUCAGUGGUUGAACCUGCUUUCUGCCACCUGGUCUCCGAUGACUUAAACUACAAUGUGAAAUUUAAGACCUAUCCCAACGUGCAGCUACACUCAGCCAUCAGUGGCUCAAGAUAGCUACUGUGCUUGACCCACGCUUUAAGGAUUUAAAGUGUCUUGCAAGGGGAGAGCGAGAAGAGGUUU